AACGAACGCUGGCGGCAUGCCUAACACAUGCAAGUCGAACGAGACCUUCGGGUCUAGUGGCGCACGGGUGCGUAACGCGUGGGAAUCUGCCCUUCGGUUGGGAAUAACUGAGAGAAAUUUCAGCUAAUACCUUAUAAUGUCUUCGGACCAAAGAUUUAUCGCCGAGGGAUAAGCCCGCGUAGGAUUAGGUAGUUGGUGGGGUAAUGGCCUACCAAGCCGACGAUCCUUAGCUGGUCUGAGAGGAUGAUCAGCCACACUGGGACUGAGACACGGCCCAGACUCCUACGGGAGGCAGCAGUGGGGAAUAUUGGACAAUGGGCGAAAGCCUGAUCCAGCAAUGCCGCGUGAGUGAUGAAGGCCUUAGGGUUGUAAAGCUCUUUUACCCGGGAUGAUAAUGACAGUACCGGGAGAAUAAGCUCCGGCUAACUCCGUG
rnacentral:rRNA from 1 species